AUGAAAGGAAGUUCUGCUAAGAGCACUCGCGUCCAUGCGAGAACGCAGAACGACUUACAUCCUAUAAG
rfam:Brevibacillus sp. CF112 PMI08_contig_137.137, whole genome shotgun sequence.